UUGACGGGGAGCACUACAACGGGUGAGCCUGCGGUUUAAUUGGACUCAACGCCGGAAAACUCACCGGGGGCGACAGCAAUAUGUAGGUCAAGCUAAAGACUUUACCAGAAUCGCUGAGAGGAGGUGCAUGGCCGUCGUCAGUUCGUACUGUGAAGCAUCCUGUUAAGUCAGGCAACGAGCGAGACCCGUGCCCACUGUUGCCAGCAUGUCCUUCGGGAUGAUGGGUACUCUGUGGGACCGCCGAUGCUAAAUCGGAGGAAGGUGCGGGCUACGGUAGGUCAGUAUGCCCCGAAUCUCCCGGGCUACACGCGGGCUACAAUGACUGGGACAAUGGGCUCCUACCCCGAAAGGGGAUGGUAAUCUCAUAAACCCAGCCUUAGUUCGGAUCGAGGGCUGUAACCCGCCCUCGUGAAGCUGGAAUCCGUAGUAAUCGCGUUUCAACAUAGCGCGGUGAAUACGUCCCUGCUCCUU
rnacentral:rRNA from 1 species